rnacentral:misc_RNA from 1 species
AAGUCGUAACAAGGUUUCCGUAGGUGAACCUGCGGAAGGAUCAUUACCGAGUUAGGGUCGCCCCGCGCGCCCGACCUCCAACCCUUUGUCUACCUGACCUUAUGUUGCUUCGGCAGGCCCGCCGCCCCUCUCGUGGGGGUGGCCGCCGGGGGUCCUUCGUGACCUCGGGCCCGCGCCUGUCGAUGGCCCAAUAAACUCUUGCUAUUAAACGUGUCGUCUGAGUAAAAUAAACAAAAUUAAAACAAAACUUUCAACAACGGAUCUCUUGGUUCUG